rnacentral:rRNA from 1 species
GAUGAACGCUGGCGGCGUGCCUAAUACAUGCAAGUCGAGCGAACAGACGAGGAGCUUGCUCCUCUGACGUUAGCGGCGGACGGGUGAGUAACACGUGGAUAACCUACCUAUAAGACUGGGAUAACUUCGGGAAACCGGAGCUAAUACCGGAUAAUAUAUUGAACCGCAUGGUUCAAUAGUGAAAGACGGUUUUGCUGUCACUUAUAGAUGGAUCCGCGCCGAAUUAGCUAGUUGGUAAGGUAACGGCUUACCAAGGCAACGAUGCGUAGCCGACCUGAGAGGGUGAUCGGCCACACUGGAACUGAGACACGGUCCAGACUCCUACGGGAGGCAGCAGUAGGGAAUCUUCCGCAAUGGGCGAAAGCCUGACGGAGCAACGCCGCGUGAGUGAUGAAGGUCUUCGGAUCGUAAAACUCUGUUAUUAGGGUAGAACAAAUGUGUAAGUAACUAUGCACGUCUUGACGGUACCUAAUCAGAAAGCCACGGCUAACUACGUG